rnacentral:rRNA from 1 species
UUUGAAAACUAAUUAAAGGUCUAGCCUGCCCAGUGACUUUGUUCAACGGCCGCGGUAUCCUAACCGUGCGAAGGUAGCGUAAUCACUUGUUCUUUAAAUGAGGACUAGUAUGAAUGGCAUCACGAGGGUUUUACUGUCUCCUCCCUCUAAUCAGUGAAACUAAUCUCCCCGUGAAGAAGCGGGGAUAAACCUAUAAGACGAGAAGACCCUAUGGAGCUUUAAACACACAACAAUUGCCCUGCUUCCCCCCCCCCCAAUCUCCGGAAAGCCACAUACUCGGGCAUUUUGAUUGCAAGUUUUAGGUUGGGGUGACCGCGGAGUAAAAAUUAGCCUCCACAGCGAAUGGGACUUCUCCCUAAACUCAGGGCUACGACCCUAAGAAUCAAUAAAUUGACACCCAUUGACCC